UACGGAGGUGGCGAGCGUUAUUCGGAAUUAUUGGGCGUAAAGAGCGCGUAGGCGGCCAAGCAAGUCAGGGUUGAAAUCCCUCGGCUCAACCGAGGAACUGCCUCUGAAACUGCAUGGCUUGAGACCGGGCGAGGGUGGUGGAAUUCCUAGUGUAGCGGUGAAAUGCGUAGAUAUUAGGAGGAACACCAGUGGCGAAGGCGGCCACCUGGACCGGUUCUGACGCUGAGGCGCGAAAGCGUGGGGAGCAAACAGG
rnacentral:misc_RNA from 1 species